AAAGGCAUAUUAAUGUAUUUCAUGAGCUUCUUCAGUAAAUCUGUAUUUCUAAGUCAGUAUCUCCCUUCAGAAAUGUUGCUGAAGGGAGAUACUGACUUAGAAAUACAGGUGAACUCAUGAAAAUAAGCUCAUGAAAUACUCAUGAAAGAAGCUCAUGAAAUACAUUAAUAUGCCUUUUUCAGAAUAUAUUUCACCAAUUUUAAGGAGUCCCUGACAUCAAAACAUGGCUUGUUUUGUUCCUGGACUCUUCAGUGAUGAUGAGCAGAGUCUGAGUCAACCUCCUGUCAGACAAUCACUAUUGCACACCAAAUGCUCUUACUCAGCAGAUGGGGACAGCUACCAUCACCCAAUUUUCACCCAAAAGUGGCUGCGCUAUUCGCCAGACCGGGCAGGAGGGACUGGACGACAACUUAUGCAGGCAUCAGAUGACAAUGAAGUGUAAAUAAAGAGUAGAGGCUAAUAAACAGGAAUUUGAUUUUAAAU